GACGAACGCUGGCGGCGUGCUUAACACAUGCAAGUCGAGCGGAAAGGCCCUGCGGGGUUCGCGAGCGGCGAACGGGUGAGUAACACAUGAGUAACUAGCCCCAGACUUUGGGAUAACCCUCGGAAACGGGGGCUAAUACCGGAUACGACAAAGCUGCGCAGGGGGUCUGGGUGGAAAGUGUUUCGGUUUGGGAUGGGCUCGGGGCUGACCAGCUGGUUGGCGGGGUGUUGGCCGGGUAAGGCGACGACGGGGAGCCGGCCUGAGAGUGCGACCGGCCAGCCUGGGACUGUGCCACGGGCCAGAGUACUGCGGGAGGCAGCAGUGGGGAAUAUUGCACGAUGGGCGGAAGCCUGAUGAAGCGACGCCGCGUGAGGGAUGACGGCCUUCGGCUUGUAAAACUCUUUCAGCAGGGACGAAGCGUAAGUGACGGUACCUGCAGAAGAAGCGCCGGCUAACUACGUG
rnacentral:rRNA from 1 species